rnacentral:lncRNA from 1 species
AUGCACCAUCCCACCUGGCAUGUGAUAUUUGUAUUUGGGGUUAGGACUCUGGCUGUUAUUUUUUUAAAAAAAUGUGUACUUGCAGUUUCUCAAAUUAUCACAGUGGAAAUCAGAUCAUGCACUUCCUGUUUGGACACGAGGGCAGCUCCUACUCCCCACACCAGCGUUAGAGGCACUUAUCACGGGUCUGGCAGGCGCUGUUCUGCUGAGCUACAUCCCCAGCCCCAGCUCUGUCAAUCUUGAGGUCAUUCCUCCUGCACUCCAGGACGCCUGCCUGCGGUGGAGCUGAACGUCCCCAACCCCGCUGCCUGGGCUUCUAGGCUCCAUCGCUGGCCUGGCCCAGCCUGCUGUUAGAUCCAGCAACUGUCAAUUUUACUAUUGAAGAACCCCUGCGUGCCUGCCGCUCUAGGGAACUCUGUCUCCUUAAACCUCUUCUGUGAGCCUGGAUACCUGCUCAGAAACUCCCUCUGAUCUCACCCAAGACUUCUGAAUAAGAAAGAGACAGCAUGCGGGCCUCUUUCUUGUCACCUGCUGUCACUUGCCAGCCCCGGGGCACCAGCUGCGCUCCCUUGGUGUGUUCUGACUUUUGCUUCCUGUGUCCUUGCUUGUGUGGGACAGUGACGGAAUUUCAACAGACGGAAUCCGGAAGAGGUGACUGAAGGGAGCACAAGCAAAGAUACCUGAGGAUGCAGGGACCCGGAGUUACGUUUGGGAGUUGGAUUCUGAGCAUUUAUGCUCCCAGGGUUGUGACUCCCAGGGGCAGAGGACACUGAAGGGGCCAUCUGGUCUACCCCUCAUUCCCAUUCGCUCCAUCUAUUACCCUACUGAGGCCCAGAGAGAUCAAAUGUCAUCAGCGCAGAGACAAAUCGGGGUCACCCUGCCUAAGGCCUUCGAUGCCAGCUUAGGCCACUUGUGCUAAAGUCCCUGGAUAGCAGGGGCGACUGAAAGCUUUGGCUGGAGUAGGGACCCAAUCGGAGAGGUGUUUUCUGACGGCAGGAUGUGACCCAUCCUUGGAUUGCAAAGUUAAUUCAGCAGAUCAUGAAUCUUAAAAUAUCACAGUGCGGUACUGCCUCUGCUGUGAGUUUUAUGCUUGUAAGGGGCAUUACAAAACGUGGCCAAAGUCGCACAAGUAAGUGACAGAGUCGGAAUACCAAGCCCGGCAGUCACUGGAAGGUGACCAGUUAGGGCUGAUCCCAGAGACACAGAGGAGAGGAAAGGUGGCCAGCGAGGGCCGUGAGCCACCGCAAGGUCGAGCGUGGGUGUCUGGGUUGCUGGUGACGUGGCAGUGUGACCAGCAGGCGUGCGUGGUCCACUUCCUCCCUUCCUUCCUUCGAGAAGCUGGGACUGCUGGCCUAGGUUUUCUCUGGAAAGCUCCGCUCCCCUUUGCUCCCGCCUACGGGGCUGACGCAACAGUCACCAUCUCUCACAUCCCCUGAGCGGGCCCGGGGGGCGCCGGCCGUCUCUGCGUCCUCUCUCAGCGCCUCUUUUCCAGGUCCGCCAUUGCUCCGGCCUCCCCGAUCUGCUGCUCUGCAGUUACUUUGAGCGAAUCUGAGUCCGGGAGGGACCCCAGGUGCCUGCGCUCUGUGGGUGACCCCGGG